GAUGAAGAACGUAGCGAAAUGCGAUAAGUAGUGUGAAUUGCAGAAUUCAGUGAAUCAUCGAAUCUUUGAACGCACAUUGCGCCCUUUGGUAUUCCUUAGGGCAUGCCUAUUCGAGCGUCAUUUAAACCUUCAAGCUAAGCUUGGUGUUGGGUGACUGUCCGCUUCACGGCGGACUCGCCUCAAAAUUAUUGGCGGCCGGUACAUUGGCUUCGAGCGCAGCAGAAACGCGAACUCGGGCCCGUCGUAUUGGCUCCCAGAAGCUAUCUUCACAAUUUUGACCUCGGAUCAGGUAGGGAUACCCGCUGAACUUAAGCAUAUCAAUAAGCGGAGGA
rnacentral:misc_RNA from 1 species